UCCGAUUUAAAGAUCGGCAGUCUCGCUAGAGUGCCCAGCCGAACUGAUGGCAACUAACAACAGGGGUUGCGCUCGUUAUAGGACUUAACCUGACACCUCACGGCACGAGCUGACGACAACCAUGCAGCACCUGUGUUACAGUUUUCUUUCGAACACUCCCUAAUCUCUCAGGGAUUCUGUGCAUGUCAAGGGUAGGUAAGGUUUUUCGCGUUGCAUCGAAUUAAUCCACAUCAUCCACCGCUUGUGCGGGUCCCCGUCAAUUCCUUUGAGUUUUAAUCUUGCGACCGUACUCCCCAGGCGGUCUACUUCACGCGUUAGCUGCGUUACCAAGUCAAUUAAGACCCGACAACUAGUAGACAUCGUUUAGGGCGUGGACUAC
rnacentral:misc_RNA from 1 species